UACGGAGGGGGCUAGCGUUGUUCGGAAUUACUGGGCGUAAAGCGCACGUAGGCGGCUUUGCAAGUUAGAGGUGAAAGCCCGGGGCUCAACUCCGGAAUUGCCUUUAAAACUGCAUCGCUAGAAUUGUGGAGAGGUAAGUGGAAUUCCGAGUGUAGAGGUGAAAUUCGGAGAUAUUCGGAAGAACACCAGUGGCGAAGGCGACUUACUGGACACAUAUUGACGCUGAGGUGCGAAAGCGUGGGGAGCAAACAGG
rnacentral:rRNA from 1 species